rnacentral:tRNA from 1 species
GCCCUUGUAGCUCAUCUGGAAAGAGCCUCCGGUUCCGAUCCGGAAGGUAGCAGGUUCGACUCCUGUCAAGGGCA